CUCUGCUCAGUGACAGUCGAUGUCCUCACACAGUGCACUAAGACACUGAACCUCCACUGAUGCCUCUAAUAGAGAAGCAUUGCAUUCAAAGCUUGUCUGUGAGAAGCAUUGGAUUGGAGGAGCAUUGUUAGCCACGCAUGUGCUUCUUGUCCCCAACACUUCCAUGUGGGAAGCACUGGAUUGGGCAAGAAGCCUGCAGGAAGAUGACACAGAUGGAGAAGGUGGUGGAUUUAAGGAAAGAGUAUCAAUGCUGGAAACAAGGUCAGUCUUUACACUUCUGGGCUCCCCUAAAUGAAAUAAACAGCUACUGGAACAUUGUAGCAUUAGAAAUACAUGUUUGCUAUUGUGUGCUCCCCCUCCCCCCCACUUUUAUAAAAACAUAAUGCACUCACGGUAGUAUCAGGGCCAAUUUAUUACAACCAGUGGUAGAACACUUCUUUUGUGACAGAGCCUUGCGGCAUGCUGCUCCCACACGGUUAGAAAAG